rnacentral:misc_RNA from 1 species
GAUGAAGAACGUAGCGAAAUGCGAUAAGUAGUGUGAAUUGCAGAAUUUAGUGAAUCAUCGAAUCUUUGAACGCACAUUGCGCCCUUUGGUAUUCCUUAGGGCAUGCCUGUUCGAGCGUCAUCUACACCCUCAAGCACAGCUUGGUGAUGGGCGCCUGUCCCGCCCCCCACGGGGGCGCGGACUCGCCUCAAAUGCAUUGGCGGCCGGCGACCUGGCUUCGAGCGCAGCAGAAACGCGUACUCGGGGAACGGGCGCCCGCUCCCAGAAGCCAACCCACCCAGUUUGACCUCGGAUCAGGUAGGGAUACCCGCUGAACUUAAGCAUAUCAAUAAGCGGAGGA